rnacentral:misc_RNA from 1 species
UAUAUGCUCUAUUACAAUUGAUUCGCCAUAUACUGAAGGAAAUUCACAUUCAUUGUAUUAAAGUAACGACAAUUAUUUAUGUAAUCAAGGAUUCAAAGUGAACUUAAUUCAGUGCUCUUGUUUAGUAAUCUUUGUAAUAUAAUGUGGUCGGCAAAUAAUGUUUGUCAUUCAUAUCGUCUAGAUUUAUAACUAAUAAAGUUACAUUUUAUCAGUGGGAAGUCUCAAUGUAGCUGGCUUUGAGUUAAUGAGUUUUGUUCAUUAUUUAAUGAGUAUUGUUCAUUAUUCUUUUUUCCCCCUGGCAUCACUCUAAAUUAAAUUAGUCUGUGCCUUUUUGAAACAGGUGGGCAGACAA